CUUCUAGACAAAUUUAUAGGAACUUCCAUUCUUGCAUCUGAAAAUAUUUAGACUUCAUGUUAAGCUGCAUUUCUGCUCAAGCAAGAUUCAGCAAGAUAAAAUGAUAAAAUGAUCAAGAAAAAGCUCCACCCAUUAUACUGCACUUGACUUCAUCAAAAGCCACAGCUGCCUCUGAUGGAGAGUGGCCUGGGUAUUGUCUAAAUGAGGCCCAAGUGUGAAUGGUAAAGCCCAUGAUUACGAAAGUCUUCAGGCUUUUGCAGAGCUCGGCCAAAGUGAAUGUCACAGGCAAAGGAAAAGUGAUCUUUUACCAGAGUGGGCCUCAGUCUAUGACAGGAUCAUGCUACCUGAUUUGGGCCAAUGGAAUGUUUCCAUCCAGGAUUUUGAAAAAAUCCAGACCAUUUGCCAUGGCAGCUGUGGGACUGAGAGCUGGAAGUUCAAUGAGAGGUAUCUGGUGCUCAACAAUGGUGCCUGAAAAAGAGCCACAUGAUGCAGCCUUAGUUGCAUCCCCAACCACCUAGCUCCCUUUGAUUACUGUUCAUUUUCCAAAAUUGG
rnacentral:lncRNA from 12 species